UACGGAGGGUGCAAGCGUUGUCCGGAUUUAUUGGGUUUAAAGGGUGCGUAGGCGGCCCGUUAAGUCAGCGGUGAAAUCCCGGGGCUCAACCCCGGAACUGCCGUUGAUACUGGCGGGCUUGAGUUCGGUCGAGGCGGGCGGAACUGGCGGUGUAGAGGUGAAAUGCUUAGAUACCGCCAAGAACCCCGAUUGCGUAGGCAGCUCGCUUGGCCGAAACUGACGCUGAGGCACGAAAGCGUGGGGAGCAAACAGG
rnacentral:rRNA from 1 species